rnacentral:rRNA from 1 species
UACGAAGGGUGCAAACGUUGCUCGGAAUUAUUGGGCGUAAAGCGCACGUAGGCGGCUUAGCAAGUCGGAAGUGAAAUCCCACGGCUCAACCAUGGAAGUGCUUUCGAAACUGCUGAGCUUGAGUACAAAAGAGGAUCGCGGAAUUCCCGGUGUAGAGGUGAAAUUCGUAGAUAUCAGGAAGAACACCCGUGGCUAAGGCGGCUCUCUAGUACGGUACUGACGCUGAGACGCGAAAGCGUGGGGAGCGAACAGG